rnacentral:rRNA from 1 species
CAAUAGCGUAUAUUAAAGUUGUUGCGGUUAAAAAGCUCGUAGUCGAAUUUCAAUUAUUGUCAGCGAUUUAGUCUACUAGGCUUAAUUCGCGGACAUAAUUUAUCUCUUCGCGAGAUAUUAUUACUUUGAGGAAAUUAGAGUGUUUAAAGCAAGCGAUUGUUUUGAAUAAUUUAGCAUGGAAUAAUGAUAUAGGACCUUAUUUUAUAUUCAUUGGUUUUACGAAAUGAGGUAAUGAUUAAUGGAAACAGACAGGGGCAUUCGUAUUUAACUGUCAGAGGUGGAAUUCUUGGAUUUGUUAAAGACGAUCAACUGCGAAAGCGUUUGCCAGGAAUGUCUUCAUUGA